ensembl:lincRNA 9330198N18Rik RIKEN cDNA 9330198N18 gene
GACACAAUUCUAAGAGGAGAUGUUGGCAGAGCUGGCGUCUUCUAAGCCCUCUGUCCUUGGCAGAUCGAUAUCUUCUUCCAGCAUUCCCCUGCCAUGUCAUUCAUAUGGCCAACUCAUCUGCUCCAGAUUCUGUAGCAUGCCCAAGGUGAAACAAACUAGAUAAAACCUGUACUCCGGACAAUGGAAGCUCCCUCAUCUUGCGCCACACAAAAUAGCCACUCCCCACCGUCUGGUGAUGUCUGGAAUCUGUGUGAAGUCUCACAAGAGAUAGGAAAUCUAAUCUAGGAAGGAAUUACAGGCACCUGCCACAGAACAACUCAGGGGUAGGAAUGUGCUUCCGGCACGGUUUGGUCAAGAAGCUCACAGCUGUGGAGCACUGCCUGGGCUUCUCGUCCAUUCCUUCCUCUCUCCCCUCCUCACAGUGUUGGCUGGGUGUGCCCACUUGGAGCUGCGAUGGCUGCUGAGUCCCAACACUCUACUUCUUCACCACCCUGGAGGCUGAAGCAGCUUUGGAGCUCUGAGGUAGACAAGCACACCUUCUCAGAGGUGCUUGGACAUCCUAUGCAGGAAGCUCUGAGGAGUCUUCCAGCCAGAGGCUACUGUCUCCCUUUCCUCCAAGAUCGAAACAUUUCAUCUUGCAGAGAAGGGGCUUAAGUGGGUGGUCAACUCAGAAUGGCUUCAGGAAGUCCACGACCCUAACCAGGUUCUUGUAGCUCCUUCUUGCCAAGAUGUACCAAGUCAAGCUGCUGAGAGCCCCUCUCAGACAGGACAAGCCGAAAAGAAGACCAGACCAGCUGCCUGGAAGGAGCAGACACCCGCUGACCGGCCUGGAAGAGGUUUAGCCCAACUGAGUCACCUGGAGAGAACACUCAUCAUCCUGCUGAGCUGCCUGUCGGCCAUGCAGUCCUUCCAGAUUCCCAGCUCUGUGAGCUGUCACCCAGGCUGGGGUGGGCUUCGGUGAGGCAGCUGUCUUUGAGUCACUUCUGUUCCUGUCAUGGAUGGUCCUGACUACCCAACUUCUCAAGCAUCCAAUGUCCUCAGAGAAAGGGAGACCAGAGACUGAAACCUGCUUGCUCAGGGGUGGAGCUUCCCGAUCAAUCGUUCUGCCACGCCCACUGCUGGAACCUGCUGCUUUGCUGCUUGGAGCCAUACACGUGGUCACCCUGCUACUGGACUCUGAGAUUAUUUGGUGGGAAUCGGGCCCCUUCCCCUGCUUCAUAACUGCGUGCAAAACAGUAAAUUUGAGCCUUGAUC